UACGGAGGGGGGCUAGCGUUGUUCGGAAUUACUGGGCGUAAAGCGCACGUAGGCGGCUUUGCAAGUCAGAGGUGAAAGCCCGGGGCUCAACCCCCGGAAUUGCCUUUGAGACUGCAUCGCUAGAAUUGUGGAGAGGUAAGUGGAAUUCCGAGUGUAGAGGUGAAAUUCGUAGAUAUUCGGAAGAACACCAGUGGCGAAGGCGGACUUACUGGACACAUAUUGACGCUGAGGUGCGAAAGCGUGGGGAGCAAACAGG
rnacentral:rRNA from 1 species